rnacentral:rRNA from 1 species
UACGUAGGGGGCUAGCGUUGUCCGGAAUCAUUGGGCGUAAAGGGCGCGUAGGCGGCCCUGUGUGUCGGGUGUGAAAGCCCACCUCUUAAAGGUGGAAUUGCAUUCGAAACUACAGGGCUGGAGUGUCGGAGAGGAUGGCGGAAUUCCUGGUGUAGAGGUGAAAUUCGUAGAUAUCAGGAGGACACCGGUGGCGAAGGCGGCCAUCGUGGACGACAACUGACGCUGAGGCGCGAAAGCGGUGGGGAUCAAACAGGGAUUAAGAU